rnacentral:rRNA from 1 species
GGUGAACGUUGGCGGUGCGCCUAAUACAUGCAAGUCGAACGGCAGCACAGCCGGGGCAACCCGGUGGGUGGCGAGUGGCGGACGGGUGAGGAAUACAUGGGAAUCUGCCCUGUCGUGGGGGAUAACGUAGGGAAACUUACGCUAAUACCGCAUACGACGGGAAGGUGAAAGCGGCGGACCGCAAGGCGUCGCGCGACUGGAGGAGCACAUGUCGGAUUAGCUAGUUGGCGGGGUAAAGGCCCACCAAGGCGACGAUCCGUAGCUGGUCUGAGAGGAUGAUCAGCCACACUGGAACUGAGACACGGUCCAGGCUCCUACGGGAGGCAGCAGUGGGGAAUAUUGGACAAUGGGCGCAAGCCUGAUCCAGCCAUGCCGCGUGAGUGAAGAAGGCCUUCGGGUUGUAAAGCUCUUUUGUCCGGAAAGAAAAGCUCUCGGUUAAUACCCGGGGGUCCUGACGGUACCGGAAGAAUAAGCACCGGCUAACUUCGUGCCAGCCGCCGCCGUAACAC